rnacentral:rRNA from 1 species
UACGAAGGGGGCUAGCGUUGCUCGGAAUUACUGGGCGUAAAGGGCUCGUAGGCGGCCAACUAAGUCAGACGUGAAAUCCCUCGGCUUAACCGGGGAACUGCGUCUGAUACUGGAUGGCUUGAGUUCGGGAGAGGGAUGCGGAAUUCCAGGUGUAGCGGUGAAAUGCGUAGAUAUCGUAAGGAAGACCAGUGGCGAAGGCGAGUCUCUGGACAGUUACUGACGCUGAGGCACGAAGGCCAGGGGAGCAAACGGG